AACGAACGCUGGCGGCAGGCCUAACACAUGCAAGUCGAGCGGGGGGGUAACCCCGUACGCGGCGGACGGGUGGAGUAACGCGUGGGAACGUGCCCUUUGCUUCGGAAUAGCCCCCUGGAAACGGGGAGUAAUACCGGAUGUGCCCUACGGGGGAAAGAAUUUCGGCAAAGGAUCGGCCCGCGUUGGAUUAGGUAGUUGGUGGGGUAAUGGCCCUACCAAGCCGACGAUCCAUAGCUGGUUUGAGAGGAUGAUCAGCCACACUGGGGACUGAGACACGGCCCAGACUCCUACGGGAGGCAGCAGUGGGGAAUAUUGGACAAUGGGCGAAAGACCUGAUCCAGCAAUGCCGCGUGAGUGAUGAAGGCCUUAGGGUUGUAAAGCUCUUUUACCCGAGAUGAUAAUGACAGUAUCGGGAGAAUAAGCUCCGGCUAACUCCGUGCCAGCAGCCGCGG
rnacentral:rRNA from 1 species